UCCUGAACUAAAAUCCGUCAUACUGCCUGGGAACUACGGGGAACGCUCUAAAACUCGAGGGACUUGGCGGUGCACUAAUCCCCCCAGGGGAACCUGGCCCUUAAUUCGAUGAUCCACGAACCUCUUACCUUUUCUAGUCUUGUUUGUCUUUGAAAAAAGCAAGUAAAAACCAGCUCGCAUACCGCCGUUUCGUAGCCUGUAUCGUGAGAGGAUAUAAACAGGCGCCCCAGCGGCUCUUGUAAUAAUAAAUAAACGGGAGCUUCUCUAAUAAUUCAGGUAAACGUGUGGCCCAUGAAAAGGGGAAGCUGGGUUACAAUUGGGGUUUGUAAUAGCGUGACUGCCUUAAGGGCAAGGCAAAAGAGGACUUGGAAGUAAUAGCCUUGGACAAUGAGGUCGUGAAUACUGCUCUAGUGUGUGU
rnacentral:rRNA from 1 species